UCAUACCUUUCCUUCCAAUUACUGAGAAUUGAAUUCUAUCAAAAGAGUGGCCAUUGAGUUCAACAAUAAAUUGUGUUACUGAAAUCUCAAAGAUUCGUCUAUUCCCCUUUCUAUCAGGUGGAGAACUUGAAAACCAUGAUUCAAAUGAGGAAGAAGAAGAAGAAGAACUAACCAUCGCUAGCAGCAGGAGGUUGGGCCGGAGCCAGAGAUUGAGCAGAAGCAGGGAGAAGCAUAGCCAAAACAAAAACAACACCAAAUAAAACGCCAAAGGGGAUCUUAUUAGCAACGACCGCCAUUGUUAAAGGAAGAAGAAGCUUCUAGGUGAAAAAACAAGAUAAUUUGAAAUGGAAGAACGAAAUCUCUCUCUGCAACGUCUCUCAGAAAUGUAAGAAGUUGAGACGAAACCUCCUGCAGGGGCUCCGGAGAGCCGCAGCAGAGAGAGAUUAAAUAGGCCGAGUUGAUGAUUUGAAGCUGUCAAAAGGGAGGGGUGGUUGAGGGCCACCGGCCAGUUGACAGUUCCGGAGACAGCGACGACGGCGUGGCAAUGGCGGUGUGGCUCUCAAUCAAAUGAGGCUCUGGAUUUUAUAGCGCCCAUUUGGUCUCCAGGCCUUAACGUUGCAACUGCAAUGGCGUGUGAAUCUCUGGUUUCAAAGUUUCUUUUUUGGGGGGUUUGUUUGAAAUGGUCUAUGGGCUUCAUUUGGAUUCU